AUUGAACGCUGGCGGCAGGCCUAACACAUGCAAGUCGAACGGUAACAGGAAGCAGCUUGCUGCUUUGCUGACGAGUGGCGGACGGGUGAGUAAUGUCUGGGAAACUGCCUGAUGGAGGGGGAUAACUACUGGAAACGGUAGCUAAUACCGCAUAACGUCGCAAGACCAAAGAGGGGGACCUUCGGGCCUCUUGCCAUCGGAUGUGCCCAGAUGGGAUUAGCUAGUAGGUGGGGUAACGGCUCACCUAGGCGACGAUCCCUAGCUGGUCUGAGAGGAUGACCAGCCACACUGAAACUGAGACACGGUCCAGACUCCUACGGGAGGCAGCAGUGGGGAAUAUUGCACAAUGGGCGCAAGCCUGAUGCAGCCAUGCCGCGUGUAUGAAGAAGGCCUUCGGGUUGUAAAGUACUUUCAGCGGGGAGGAAGGGAGUAAAGUUAAUACCUUUGCUCAUUGACGUUACCCGCAGAAGAAGCACCGGCUAACUCCGUG
rnacentral:rRNA from 1 species